rnacentral:rRNA from 1 species
UACGUAGGGGGCGAGCGUUGUCCGGAUUUAUUGGGCGUAAAGAGCUCGUAGGCGGCUUGGCAAGUCGGGUGUGAAAACUCCAGGCUCAACCUGGAGAUGCCACUCGAGACUGCUAUGGCUAGAGUCCGGUAGGGGACCACGGAAUUCCUGGUGUAGCGGUGAAAUGCGCAGAUAUCAGGAGGAGCACCGGUGGCGAAGGCGGUGGUCUGGGCCGGCACUGACGCUGAGGAGCGAAAGCGUGGGGAGCGAACAGG